GGGGAUGUAGCUCAGUGGUACAGCACUUGUUUAACGUGAGGUUCUGGGUUUGAUUCCCAGCAUGCACA
rnacentral:tRNA from 1 species